GCCACUGGUGGGAUUAACACAAAACAAUAGAAAAUGAGUAGAAAAAAGGCAGCUUUAGAAGGAAGAUUUUGAGACCAAAUUUAUGUUAACUUUUUGUGGAACAUACUCAGAGUUUCUCUUCCAGAAUCUCUUUUCUAAUUGGAUGCCACAGUGACACCAGAUACUGGAAGUGAGAGCUGAUGGAUGGUCCCUUCUGUGCUCUCAAUUCCCCUCUUGCUGGUGCCCAUGCAGCCUGGAAGGUGAGGAGAAAGCAACCUGGCACAGGGAUGAUGAACAAGGGACUGGCGGAGAAGAGGAGACAAGAGCAGCUCUGCUUUAAAGGAGGGGAAAACCCAGCACCACAUCCAUCAGUUCCAAAGCCACAAAAAGGGGCUAAAAUCUUUGUUUUAAGUACCACCACAGACUAUUUUAUGUGAGUCUGUAAUGCCAUCUAACGCCUCUGCUGCUGAUCUUGAGAUAUGU